UACGUAGGGGGCGAGCGUUGUCCGGAUUUACCGGGCGUAAAGCGCACGCAGGCGGUCUGCUAAGUUUGGAGUGACAGUUGGUGGCUUAACUGCCAAAGUGCUUCGAAAACUGACAGACUUGAGGGCUUCAGAGGGACACGGAAUUCCGGGUGGAGUGGUGAAAUGCGUAGAGAUCCGGAGGAACACCAAAGGCGAAGGCAGUGUCCUGGGGAGUACCUGACGCUCAGGUGCGAAAGCCAGGGGAGCGAACGGG
rnacentral:rRNA from 1 species